rnacentral:rRNA from 1 species
AGAGGGGGCAAGCGUUGUUCGGAAUUACUGGGCGUAAAGGGCGCGUAGGCGGCCCUCUAAGUCAGACGUGAAAUCCCUCGGCUCAACCGGGGAACUGCGUCUGAGACUGGAAGGCUUGAAUUCGGGAGAGGGAUGUGGAAUUCCAGGUGUAGCGGUGAAAUGCGUANAUAUCUGGAGGAACACCGGUGGCGAAGGCGGCAUCCUGGACCGAUAUUGACGCUGAUGCGCGAAAGCCAGGGGAGCAAACGGGAUUAGAUACCCCGGUAGUCCUGGCCCUAAACGAUGAAUGCUUGGUGUGGCGGGUAUCGAUCCCUGCCGUGCCGAAGCUAACGCAUUAAGCAUUCCGCCUGGGGAGUACGGUCGCAAGGCUG